rnacentral:rRNA from 1 species
UACGUAGGGUCCGAGCGUUGUCCGGAAUUAUUGGGCGUAAAGGGCUCGUAGGCGGUCUGUCGCGUCGGGAGUGAAAACUUACAGCUUAACUGUGAGCGUGCUUCCGAUACGGGCAGACUUGAGGUAUUCAGGGGAGAACGGAAUUCCUGGUGUAGCGGUGAAAUGCGCAGAUAUCAGGAGGAACACCGGUGGCGAAGGCGGUUCUCUGGGAAUAUCCUGACGCUGAGGAGCGAAAGUGUGGGGAGGCGAACGGG